rnacentral:rRNA from 1 species
AUGGAAGCUCCGGCUCCAGAUUGGUCCGAGCUGCCCGCCGACAUACUGUGCGACGUGCUCACGCUGCUCGAGUGCCCGGACCUCCUCCGAGCCGGCGCCGUCUACGCGGCCUGGCACAUGGCGUACUCCAGGCUACGCCGCGCCGGCAUCUACCCCGUCCGCCAAACCCCCUGCUUACUCUACUGCAACGAGGCCGCCGGCGGGCUCAACGCCCUCGGCAUGUACAUUCUUUCCGAGAAAAAGGCAUAUACCAUGCCGCUCCCUGAAUCUUCCAUCAAGAACUGGAUCGGCUCGUCGCACGGAUGGCUAGUCACUAUGGAUGACAAGUCCGAGCUGAUGCUGCUCAACCCGAUCACCGGCAACACUAAUGUACUCCCUCGAAUUACAACCAUGGAGCAUGUUAAACCUGUCCUAAACGGUCAUGGGGUUCUUGAAAAGUGUGGAUGCAUCGUCAUGCUCAUCCACCAGCCGUACGGCCAGCUCUUGUUUGCCAAGGUAGGAGAUGACCAUUGGAAUUGGCUCAGCGUAUGCAGCUACUACAAAGAUUGUGUAUACCACAACGGGUGGUUCUAUGCGGUUACCGAAGAAGGCGCGAUUGAUGCAUACAAUUUACAUGGACCAUCUGUCAUCCACAAAAGGUUGUUACCCCAAAUAAUCCAGACAGUUUCGAAAUAAUGUCACAUUGUUCAGGCAGAAUGGGGAGAUGUCCUCCAAAUCAUUAGGAAGGAGAUUCUCGAUCCUGAACGACCGGACAGUCAUACGUGGAUCCCUGAAAUCAAAGUGUACAGGGUUGAUUUUGAUAAGGAGAAGUGUGUCAGCAUAACAGAUAUAGGGGACUAUGCGUUGUUCAUUGGGAGCAGCACAACGUCUUGCUUAAGCGUCAAGGACUAUCCAGACUUGAUGCCAAACCAUGUCUAUUUCACUGAUGAUGACGUCGGAGCACACAUACUCGAGAAAGACUACCCUCCCAAAGUUGGGAUUUACAACAUUAUAAAUAAUACCACGGUGAAUGUGGUUCAUCCUGAACUUUGGAUGAAUUGGUUGCCCCCCAUAUGGUUGACGCCGAGUCUUGAGAAAACGGGUAUGGUUCUACUUGUCCCUUUAUCUACUAUGGAAAAUGCUGCUUGUUGUAUAUCCCAAUCUCUGAGCAGCAUUUAUUUAUGUGUUAUUUUUCCUAGUGCUGUUAAAAGUUUUGCCAUGUAA